rnacentral:rRNA from 1 species
GAUGAACGCUGGCGGCGUGCCUAAUACAUGCAAGUCGAGCGAACAGACGAGGAGCUUGCUCCUCUGACGUUAGCGGCGGACGGGUGAGUAACACGUGGAUAACCUACCUAUAAGACUGGGAUAACUUCGGGAAACCGGAGCUAAUACCGGAUAAUAUAUUGAACCGCAUGGUUCAAUAGUGAAAGACGGUUUUGCUGUCACUUAUAGAUGGAUCCGCGCCGCAUUAGCUAGUUGGUAAGGUAACAGCUUACCAAGGCAACGAUGCGUAGCCGACCUGAGAGGGUGAGCGGCCACACGGGAACUGAGACACGGUCCAGACUCCUACGGGAGGCAGCAGUAGGGAAUCUUCCGCAAUGGGCGAAAGCCUGACGGAGCAACGCCGCGUGAGUGAUGAAGGUCUUCGGAUCGUAAAACUCUGUUAUUAGGGAAGAACAAAUGUGUAAGUAACUAUGCACGUCUUGACGGUACCUAAUCAGAAAGCCACGGCUAACUACGUG